AGGUGGAGCAGUGCAAAAGAGAUAUCGCUCAGCCCGUCACACGUAUCAGCGCACACGUCAACAUUACUAAAUACAGUGUUCCGGCGCUACAGGUGGCCAUCAGGGAGUACGGACCGGCCGUGGUCAUCGUGGACUCGUCAGCGAAGAGCUUUCAAUUUUAUAAGAAAGGAGUUCUCUAUGAUGAUCGUUGUUCCAAGAAAAGUUCAAAACACGCAGUUUUAGCAGUGGGUUGGAGCCAAAAGAAAGGCGAGCCGUACUUUAUA